CGAUGGGCACUUCCUUCAUAGAAAUUUCCAACUUCUCCCCACCUGAAGAAACACUGCCAAAACUGACUGACUCAGUCUUCACAAUUGGUGACUGUUUCAAUGAAAAAAGAGUCCAACUCAGACUCGUCAGGCUUUUGAGCAGUGUUUUUAGAUGACUUGCAAUCUAAUGGUUUUCGACCACUCUCCUUACAUCUCCUACGGGGCUUUGUUGAAGAUGCAAAGGGACCAGAUUGUGAGGAUGGUGAGGUAUGUAAUGGAUCUGUACCAAGCAAAGGUGGCUGAUGAAAAAGAAGAAAGAGCAGCAAACAAAGUGCAAGAGCAAAAGGACAAAAGAAAAUUGUAAUUAGUUAAUUUCCUCUGUAUAUAAAAAGUUAAUUACAUAAGUUUUAAAAAACCAAAUUUAUUCACUGGAUUAAAUUCCCUUGCCACAUGCCAUAGCUAUUCAAAUGAAGGAGAGCAGUCCAAUAACACAAAUUCGAAGGUCAAUGUGUCUGUUAACAGUAUUAGACAUCUUAUAUUUUAAAAUAUUCAAAUGUACAUAUUCGGUAGAAACCCAGCUACUACAUUUGGUUAAUAAACUAGAUAUUCUUAAACAUGAAAGCUCAAUUGAGAUAGUCACCCAAACCAUGAUUUGAAAAAAUGGAAUUGUGUUAUAGACCAGAUGUGAGGAACCUUUGGCCCUCCAGAUUUUCUUAACUGCAACACUCAUCAACCCCAGCAAGCAUGGGCAAUACCCAGGGUUGAUAGGAGCUUGUAGUAGCAGAACAUCUGGAGGGCCAAAGGUUUUCCAUAUCUGCUACAAACCUUCAUAGUCCUUCAUCACCUUGGUACAUGCGCUAAUUCCCUCUUCCAUUUCCAGUCUGCUGUCCUAUUUUACUAUAACAUACCUAUUUGCACAUCAAAGCAAGUGCCAAUUUCCAGGCCAUGGUUUACAAACCCACUUCAAUCCCAUGGUUUGGAGGGUUACCACUACCGUAUUUUGCCCAACUUAGUCAUUACUUUAAGCUACAGUUAGAAGGAAUUGGAAACUAGAACAAGACAUUGGCAUGAAAGAGAAGCUGAUCCU